rnacentral:rRNA from 1 species
AGGAUUAACGCUGGCGGCGUGCCUAACACAUGCAAGUCGAACGAGGUAGCAAUACCUAGUGGCAGACGGGUGAGUAGCGCGUGGUCAACCUACCGUUGAGUGGGGGAUAACUAGCCGAAAGGUUAGCUAAUACCGCAUACGUCUCCGAGGGGCAUCCCUUGGUGAUAAAAGGAGCAAUCCGCUCGAUGACGGGACCGCGUCCCAUUAGCUAGUUGGUGGGGUAACGGCCUACCAAGGCAUCGAUGGGUAGCUGGUUUGAGAGAGCGACCAGCCACACUGGGACUGAGAUACGGCCCAGACUCCUACGGGAGGCAGCAGUGAGGAAUUUUCCGCAAUGGGCGAAAGCCUGACGGAGCGACGCCGCGUGUGGGAAGAAGGCCUUCGGGUCGUAAACCACUGUCAAAGGGGAGAUAAUGACGGUACCCUUGGAGGAAGCCCCGGCUAACUACGUGCCAGCAGCCGC